rnacentral:rRNA from 1 species
CGAAAAGUUAUGUAAGGGCGUAUGGGGGAUGCCUAGGCUCUCAGAGGCGAAGAAGGACGUGAUAAGCUGCGAAAAGUUGCGGGGAUUGGCACAUACGAUUAGAUCCGCAAAUAUCCGAAUGGGGCAACCCAGUACAUUGAAGAUGUACUACACCGAUUGGUGGGCAAACCUGCUGAACUGAAACAUCUUAGUAGGCAGAGGAGAAGAAAACAAAAGUGAUUCCCAGAGUAGUGGCGAGCGAAAUGGGAGCAGCCCAAACCCAUAUUGUUACGGCAAUAUGGGGGUAGUAGGACCCAGAUAUAGGUUGUAAAACUGGAUUAGAAGUGUUUGGAAAGACACACCAUAGAGAGUGAAAGUCUCGUAUAGGUACAGCUUUAUAAAUCUUAUGGGUAUCCUGAGUAGGUCGGGGCACGUGGAACCUUGACUGAAUCCGCCGGGACCAUCCGGUAAGGCUAAAUACUCCUGAGAGACCGAUAGUGAACCAGUACCGUGAGGGAAAGGUGAAAAGAACCGUGAAUAACGGAGUGAAAUAGACCCUGAAACCAUACGCUUACAAGCGGUCGGAGCAGCGUCAGCUGUGACGGCGUGCCUUUUGCAUAAUGAGCCUACGAGUUACUGUUACCAGCGAGGAUAAGUAUUUCAGAUACGAAUCCGUAGCGAAAGCGAGUCUGAAUAGGGCGCUCAUAGUUGGUAGUAGUAGACGCGAAACCUGGUGAUCUACCCUUGGGCAGGUUGAAGCGCUGGUAACACAGCGUGGAGGACCGAACUGGUUGUCGUUGAAAAGACUUCGGAUGACCUGAGGGUAGGGGUGAAAGGCCAAUCAAACUGGGAAAUAGCUCGUACUCCCCGAAAUGCAUUUAGGUGCAGCGUUGAUGCGAGUUUAAUAGAGGUAGAGCUACUGAUUGGAUGCGGGGGUUUCAUCGCCUACCAAUUCCUGACAAACUCCGAAUGCUAUUAAAUGCUCAUCAGCAGUGAGGGUAUGGGUGCUAAGGUCCAUAUCCUAAAGGGAAAGAACCCGGACCAUCAGCUAAGGUCCCCAAAUAUAUGCUAAGUUGACCAAACGCGGUCUGACUGCACUGACAGCUAGGAUGUUGGCUUGGAAGCAGCCAUACAUUUAAAGAGUGCGUAACAGCUCACUAGUCGAGCGGUUGGGCAUGGAUAAUAAACGGGCAUAAGCAUAUUACCGAAGCUAUGGGGUUAUUACUUGAAGUAAUAUACCGGUAGGGGAGCAUUCUAUUGGCGUGGAAGCUAAAGGCGUGAGCCAUAGUGGAGCCUGAUAGAAAAGAAAAUGUAGGCAUAAGUAACGAUAAGGCAGGCGAGAAACCUGCCCGCCGAAAGAUCAAGGUUUCCUCAGCUAUGCUAAUCAGCUGAGGGUUAGUCGGGGACUAACGCGAACCCGAGUAGGGGUAGUGGAUGUACAAUAGGUUAAUAUUCCUAUACCAUUAGUCUGUUAAAAGUGACGGAAUGAGAUAACUACCGCGUACUGACGGAAUAGUACGUUUAAGGAGUUGUUAUGACUUCGAAAGUACGCUGAGGCUUCGGCCGAGGUGAGUGUGGUGACAACGUUUCCAAGAAAAGCGAAGGCUAAUGCCCGUACCGUAAACCGACACAGGUGAUUGGGAUGAGAAUUCUAAGGCGCUCGAGAGAUUCAUGGCUAAGGAACUAGGCAAAAUAGACCUGUAACUUAGGGAGAAAGGUCGCCUAUCAUUAGAUAGGCCGCAGUGAAAAGGUCCAAGCGACUGUUUAUCAAAAACACAGGACUCUGCAAAAUCGAAAGAUGAAGUAUAGGGUCUGACACCUGCCCGGUGCUGGAAGGUUAAGAGGAGAGCUUAGCAGCAAUGCGAAGGUUUGAAUUGAAGCCCCAGUAAACGGCGGCCGUAACUAUAACGGUCCUAAGGUAGCGAAAUUCCUUGUCGGGUAAGUUCCGACCUGCACGAAUGGUGUAACGAUUUGGACACUGUCUCGGCCAUGAGCUCGGUGAAAUUGUAGUAUCGGUGAAGAUGCCGAUUACCCGCAGUGGGACGAAAAGACCCUGUGCACCUUUACUAUAUCUUCGUAUUGGUCUUGGAUAAGUGAUGCGUAGGAUAGGUGGGAGACUAAGAAGCGGCUAUUCCGGUAGUUGUGGAGUCAUUGUUGAAAUACCACCCUUUGCUUAUCUGAGGUCUAACUUUGCACAAGGCAAAGGACAAUUCGUGGAGGGUAGUUUGACUGGGGUGGUCGCCUCCAAAAGUGUAACGGAGGCUUCUAAAGGUUCCCUCAGCACGCUUGGUAACCGUGCGUAGAGUGCAAUGGCAUAAGGGAGCUUGACUGAGAGACAGACAAGUCGAUCAGGUACGAAAGUAGAGCAUAGUGAUCCGGUGGUUCCGUAUGGAAGGGCCAUCGCUCAAAGGAUAAAAGGUACGCCGGGGAUAACAGGCUGAUCUCCCCCAAGAGCUCACAUCGACGGGGGGGUUUGGCACCUCGAUGUCGGCUCGUCACAUCCUGGGGCUGGAGAAGGUCCCAAGGGUUGGGCUGUUCGCCCAUUAAAGUGGCACGCGAGCUGGGUUCAGAACGUCGUGAGACAGUUCGGUCUCUAUCUACUGUGGGCGUUAGAAAUUUGCGUGGAUCUGACUCUAGUACGAGAGGACCGAGUUGGACGCACCGCUGGUGUAUCUGUUGUCUUGCCAAGGGCAUAGCAGAGUAGCUAAGUGCGGAUGGGAUAAGUGCUGAAAGCAUAUAAGUACGAAACCCGCCACAAGAUGAGAUUUCUUUUAAGGGUCGUGGGAGAUGACCACGUUGAUAGGUUACAGGUGUAACGGUGGUAACAUCAUAGCCGAGUAAUACUAAUAACCCGUAGACUUUUCGCGCAG